UGAUGGUUGCUCAAUCCAAGUUCAUAAAUGACAGGAACUGUGACCCUGAAGAGAAUUACCAGCAAAUCCACUGAAAGUGUGCCUUCUGCUCCCUUGCUUCCUGUCCAACAGGAGCUUGGCGUCUUGGCGAAAAUAGAACAUGCGAAUGAGGCCCGACAUGCAGCCUAUAUUGUUCUCCUGACGUCGCAUAGCAAGUGUGGUCCCUGAGCGAUUUGCAGUUAGAUCAACAAUAAAAGCUCAUGCAGUGACACAUGCCAAAUUUCUAUUGCAAAAGGGGAGGGGGGUGGGGAGCGCUUGCCAAGCCUGGAGAACAGAAGAACUGAUAUUUUUGCACAAAUAAUACAAGGUAAUUGUGAGCAAAUACCAGAGCAAACCGGCCACUCUUAUCUAUUUUAAUGGAACUGUUGAAGAAAGCAAGGAUAUGAAAAGAAAUAUGCUAGAAACUCCUCCAAUAUUGACUUCGAAGUGAGUGAAAGAUCCAGCAAAACCAUUUUCACAUUGUGUUUAAGAGACAUCUGCCAAAAUUGUCAGGGCCUUAUAUUACAUUUUACUUUCUCUAUUACUCGAAUUAGUAAGCAUCAUAGCACUAGAUUAUAUGAUCUCAACAUGUAGGUAACGACCAUGCAUACAAAUGUUUCCCUUAAACAAACAAAUUCGACUACAAGUAACUCUAGAAAGUGCAAAUCAAGAAGGAAAGCCAGCAACUAAGAGUAAUACUAUUUCAUUUAAAACUCACUUACCUGAUA